UUGGGAUUCGGCUAGCAAUUUUUUGAUGAAAAUCACGAUAAAAACCUACAAUUCGUAACAGCGAGUCAACUGUGCUUGCUUUCCAGUCAUCGGCUCUUGCGAGGAAAGCUAUUAACUAUAAACUAUGUACGAAAGAACUCUUUGAACGUUUUUAAACAUCGUGUCUAAUGUACAUGUGCACGAUGUGGACGAUGUGGUCUCUUUUCAAGGUUAAAAGACUCUUGGUGAAAAGACUCUUGGUGAAAAGGCUCAGGUGAAAAGACAAAAGUAUCAUGUGAGAGCUGAUGGGCAUAUAUCAUAUAUGAAU